rnacentral:misc_RNA from 1 species
AUUGCUGCCUUUCACAUUGCUCCAUAACUCCAUAUUACCCAUACCCUUUUAUCUCUUCUUUCUUUCUCUUCAUCAAAUACACACACCACAAACAUCAAAGCUUCAUUUCUCUCCCAAUCGUUCUAUAUAUCUGUCUAUCAAUGGCCGUUCAAGCUCAAUACCCUUCAAAUGUUCUCCUUCUAAACAGAAACGGGCAAGAGGGUCAUGAUUAUUCAUUGCAACCACAACCAGGAAGAUUUCUUGAUCAAUCCCAUAUGCUAUUCACCAAUGGAGGGGCUAAUAAUCCACGCAAGAGAGGAAGAGAAGGGUCAGCAGCAGCGGCAACGGUAGCAAUUACAACCACC